AUUGGAGGGCAAGUCUGGUGCCAGCAGCCGCGGUAAUUCCAGCUCCAAUAGCGUAUAUUAAAGUUGUUGCGGUUAAAAAGCUCGUAGUUCGAGCUCAGUUCCGGACUGGGGUGGGAGGUCACCGCCCGGUGCUUCCCCGUCAGGCUCCGAACAGCUUCCGUGAGUGGAAGCCAAGCCGGUUCUGCCGGGGUGCUCUUUACCGAGUGUCCCGCGCGGCCGGCCAGUUCACCUUGAAUAAAUGAGAGUGCUCAAAGCAGGCUACUCUGGAAUACAAUGCCCGAAUGUUACCUGCAUGGAAUGAUGGAAGAUGAUCUCGGUUCCAUUUUGUUGGUGGUGGGAGCCAGAGGUAAUGAUAAACAGGGACUGUCGGGGGCAUCCGUACUACGACGCGAGAGGUGAAAUUCAGUGACCGUCGUAGGACGAACAACAGCGAAAGCAUUUGCCAAGAAUGUCUUCGUUGAUCAAGAACGAAAGUUAGAGGAUCGAAGGCGAUCAGAUACCGCCCUAGUUCUAACCCUAAACGAUGCUGACUAGCAAUUCGCCGUCGUUAUUCCCAUGACGUGGCGAGACGCCCCCGGGAAACCUCAAGUCUUUGAGUUCCGGGGGUAGUAUGGUUGCAAAACUGAAACUUAAAGGAAUUGACGGAAGGGCACCACCAGGAGUGGAGCCUGCGGCUUAAUUUGACUCGACACG
rnacentral:rRNA from 1 species